rnacentral:rRNA from 1 species
UACGGAGGGGGCUAGCGUUGUUCGGAAUUACUGGGCGUAAAGCGCGCGUAGGCGGACCUGCAAGUCGGGGGUGAAAGCCCGAGGCUCAACCUCGGAACUGCCUUUGAUACUGGCGAGCUCGAGUCCGGGAGAGGUGAGUGGAACUCCGAGUGUAGAGGUGAAAUUCGUAGAUAUUCGCAAGAACACCAGUGGCGAAGGCGGCUCACUGGCCCGGUACUGACGCUGAGGUGCGAAAGCGUGGGGAGCAAACAGG